UACGAAGGGGGCUAGCGUUGCUCGGAAUCACUGGGCGUAAAGCGCACGUAGGCGGUUCUUUAAGUCAGGGGUGAAAUCCCAAGGCUCAACCUUGGAACUGCCUUUGAUACUGGGGAUCUCGAGUCCGGAAGAGGUGAGUGGAACUGCGAGUGUAGAGGUGAAAUUCGUAGAUAUUCGCAAGAACACCAGUGGCGAAGGCGGCUCACUGGUCCGGUACUGACGCUGAGGGGCGAAAGCGUGGGGAGCAAACAGG
rnacentral:rRNA from 1 species